rnacentral:lncRNA from 1 species
UUUCAGUAAAACCAUACCCAGUCAUCCACCAUUCUCCGACCACCAUCCCGUUUUGUUCCACGACGUCGUUUUGUCAGUAGGCACCGGCACAACUUGUUACACGGUUGGUUAUGUGGACUAGCAAGUGGUUGGUGAGCAAUCGUCCAAACCGAAGUCGACUAAGUGCACGCCAAUCGAAGAAGAAGGCUUAGCCAAGGCUUACAUAGCACGUCUAACAACAAGACAAAAGGUAAUAAUCAAACGGGUGACGGGUUUUGGUCCAAGGUUUUGGCGAAGUUCCUCGACCUUAUGGACCAAGGCCCGUAUCGUGAU